AUAAUACUCCCUUCAUCCAGAAUUACUUGUCAUCAAAAUGGAUGUGUCUAGAACUAAAAUACAUCUAGAUACAUCCAUUUCAAUGACAAGUAUUUUCGGACGGAGGGAGUAGUAG
rnacentral:pre_miRNA from 1 species